rnacentral:rRNA from 1 species
GAAAGUAUUCAAGGGCGCACGGCGGAUGCCUAGGCUCUUACAGGCGAUGAAGGACGUGAUAAGCUGCGACAAGCCGCGGUGAGGCGCAAAUGGCCAUUGACCCGCGGGUUUCCGAAUGGGGCAACCCAACGUUUUGAAGAGACGUUAUCCCGCGAAUGCGGGAGGCGAACGCGGGGAACUGAAACAUCUUAGUACCCGCAGGAGAAGAAAAUAAAUAAUGAUUCCCCCAGUAGUGGCGAGCGACCGGGGAAUAGCCCAAACCGGCGUUGUCCAGGCAUCGCCGGGGUUGUAGGACCGCGAUGUCGCAAGAGUGAUGGCGAGUGGAAGGAACUGGAAAGUUCCGCCAUAGAGGGUGACAGCCCCUUACACGAAGCCAUGCGAAGCGUAGCGGAAUCCUGAGUAGCGCGGGACACGUGUAAUCCUGUGUGAAUCAGCCGGGCCCAUCCGGCAAGGCUAAAUACUCGUAAGAGACCGAUAGUGAACCAGUACCGUGAGGGAAAGGUGAAAAGCACCCCUGUUAGGGGAGUGAAAAAGAUCCUGAAACCGUGCGCCUACAAGCGGUCGGAGCGCCCAUUGGGCGUGACGGCGUGCCUUUUGCAUAAUGAACCUACGAGUUGCCGUCACCGGCAAGGCCAAGGGGCAGGAGCCCCGCAGCCGCAGCGGAAGCGAGUCUUAAAAGGGCGCAGGAGUCGGUGGUGGCAGACGCGAAACCGAGUGAUCUACACUUGUCCAGGAUGAAGUCCCGGUAACACGGGAUGGAGGUCCGCACCAAUAAGCGUUGAAAAGCUUCUGGAUGAGGUGAGUGUAGGAGUGAAAGGCCAAUCAAACUCGGAGAUAGCUCGUACUCCCCGAAAGGCAUUUAGGUGCCGCCUGUGGAGUUCCCGGCGCGAGGUAGAGCGACUGAUAGGAUGCGAGGGCUUCACCGCCUGUCAAGUCCUGACAAACUCCGAAUGCGCGCCGGCCAAUCCAUGGAGUAAGGGCACGGGUGCUAAGGUCCGUGCCCGAGAGGAGAAGAAUCCAGACCACCGGCCAAGGUCCCGAAAUGCUGGUUAAGUUAGACUAACGCAGUCCGUCCCCCCAGACAGCUAGGAUGUUGGCUUGGAAGCAGCCAUUCAUUCAAAGAGUGCGUAACAGCUCACUAGUCGAGGGGAUGGGCGUGGAUAAUAAUCGGGUAUGAAACCAGUUACCGAAGCCGUGGGAUAUGAGAAUAUCGGUAGGGGAGCAUUCCAUCCUGCGUCGAAGGCGCCGCGCGAGCGGCUCUGGAGCGGAUGGAAAAGCAAAUGUAGGUAUAAGUAACGAUAAGGAGGGUGCGAUCCCCUCCCGCCGAAAGACCAAGGUUUCCUGAACAACGCCAAUCGGUUCAGGGUGAGUCGGUCCCUAAGCAUAAGCCUAAGGGCGAGGGCGAUGGAUCAAACGGUUAAUAUUCCGUUACUGUCUUGGUGUGUGACGCGGCGACGGAGAAGUGACACGGCCGCCCCCUGACGGAAAAGGGGGUUUAAGCGCAAAGGUUACGAGGGAGGCAGGCAAGCCCACCUCCCGAGCCGAAGCGCGAAAGUACGCGGCGCCCUUCUGGGCAACGCGACAGCGCCGGUAACCAUGCUCCCGAGAAAACCCGCUAAACUCCAGCACCAAGUCAUCCGUACCGUAAACGGACACACGUGGUCGGGUAGAACAUACUAAGGCGCUUGGGAGAUUCACGGUUAAGGAACUAGGCAAAUUGACCCCGUACCUUCGGAACAAGGGGUCCUCGUGUAAACGAGGCGCAGAGAAUAGGUCCAGGCAACUGUUUAACAAAAACACAGGGCUGUGCAAAUUCGAAAGAAGCCGUAUACAGCCUGACACCUGCCCGGUGCCGGAAGGUUAAGAGGAGGGCUCAUACUCAUGUAGAAGGCCCGAAUUGAAGCCCCGGUAAACGGCGGCCGUAACUAUAACGGUCCUAAGGUAGCGAAAUUCCUUGUCGGGUAAGUUCC